GGUCAAGCUACUAAGGGCGUGCGGUGGAUGCCUUGGCGCAGGAAAGCGAUGAAGGACGUAGCAGGCUGCGAUAAGCCUCGGGGAGCGGCGAGCACGCUUUGAUCCGGGGAUUUCCGAAUGGGGCAACCCGGCCAGGUUAAUACCUGGUCACCUCCUCCUGAACACAUAGGGAGGUUGGAGCGAACGAGGGGAAUUGAACCAUCUAAGUACCCUCAGGAAAAGAAAGCAACCGCGAUUCCCCCAGUAGCGGCGAGCGAACGGGGAUCUAGCCUAAACCGAAGACGUGCCAAGCCGGUGAGCGUUGCGUUUUCGGGGUCGUGGGACCGUUGUGGACUCCAUCACCGUGGGGUCGGGAAGUUACAAACCGAAUUCCUAGUCGAAUGGCAUGAAAAGGCCAGCCAUAGAAGGUUAUAGCCCUGUAGGCGAAAGGAGUUCGGCUUCCUGGCGACGGUUCCCGAGUACCACGGGACACGUGGAACCCUGUGGGAAUCUGGGAGGACCAUCUCCCAAGGCUAAAUAUUCUCCUGCGACCGAUAGUGAACUAGUACCGUGAGGGAAAGGUGAAAAGAACCCCUGCUAGGGGAGUGAAAUAGAACCUGAAACCGCAUGCUUACAAGCAGUGGGAGGGCUAUGGCCUUCGGGCAAAGCCUGACCGCGUGCCUUUUGCAUAAUGAGCCGGCUAGUUACUCUCAGCGGCAAGGUUAAGCGAUAAGCGAGCCGGAGCGAAAGCGAGUCUUAACAGGGCGAGCAAGUCGCUGGGAGUAGACGCGAAGCCGAGUGAUCUACCCUUGGCCAGGGUGAAGCGUGGGUAACACCACGUGGAGGCCCGAACCAUUGUGGGUUGAAAACCGCUUGGAUGAGCUGAGGGUAGGGGUGAAAGGCCAAUCAAACUCGGUUAUAGCUCGUUCUCCCCGAAAUAGCUUUAGGGCUAGCCUCGCGUGUUUAUUGUCGCUGGUAGAGCACUCAAUGGACUAGGGGGUGUAAUAACCUACCGAAUCCAAGGAAACUCCGAAUGGCGGCAACGGAAAGCGCGGGAGUCAGACUGCGAGGGAUAAUCUCCGUGGUCGAGAGGGAAAGAACCCAGACCGCCAGCUAAGGUCCCCAAAUUCAGGCUAAGUGGCAAAGGAUGUGAGGCUGCUGUGACAGCUAGGAGGUUGGCUUAGAAGCAGCCAUCCUUCAAAGAAAGCGUAACAGCUCACUAGUCGAGCGGCCUUGUGCCGAUAAUGUAACGGGGCUCAAGCCUGGUACCGAAGCUGCGGACCGGCCAGCUUGCUGGUCGGUGGUAGGGGAGCGUUCUGUAGGAGAUACAAGUCGGACCGACAAGGACCGGUGGUGGCCUACAGAAGUGACUCUGCCGGCAUAAGUAGCGAUAAACGAAGUGAGAAUCUUCGUCGCCGAAAAUCCAAGGUUUCCUGAGGAAGGUUCGUCCGCUCAGGGUGAGUCGGAUCCUAAGGUGAGGCCGAAAGGCGUAGCCGAUGGGUAGCAGGUCAACAUUCCUGCACCGCCUAUGUGAGUGAUGGGGUGACGCAGGAGGCUAGGCGAACCGGACUGUUGGACAUGUCCGGCCCCGAGUGUAGGGGGGCAUCCCAGGCAAAUCCGGGGUGCCGUAACCCUGAGGCGAGGGGGGAAGUGCGGCCUUGUGCCAAACCAACUCGCUGACGCCACGCUGCCAAGAAAAACCUCUAGCGUUAAUUGCAUAGGCGUCCGUACCGUAAACCGACACAGGUAGAUGGGGAGAGAAUCCUCAGGCGCGUGAGAGAACUCUGGCUAAGGAACUCGGCAAAAUAGCCCCGUAACUUCGGGAGAAGGGGUGCCCCAUUAGGGUGAAAGGCCUGCGCCUGGAGCCUGAAGGGGUUGCAGUGAAAGGGCGCAAGCGACUGUUUACCAAAAACACAGCGCUCUGCAAAGUCAAAAACGACGUAUAGGGCGUGACGCCUGCCCGGUGCCGGAAGGUUAAGAGGAGGUGUUAGCCGCAAGGCGAAGCAUUGAAUCGAAGCCCCGGUAAACGGCGGCCGUAACUAUAACGGUCCUAAGGUAGCGAAAUUCCUUGUCGGGUAAGUUCCGACCUGCACGAAUGGCGUAACGAUUUGCGCACUGUCUCGGCCAGAGACUCAGUGAAUUUGUAGUACCGGUGAAGAUGCCGGUUACCCGCGGAAAGACGGAAAGACCCUGUGAACCUUUACUGCACCCUGGCAAUGGAGCUCGGUGCGGCAUGUGCAGGAUAGGUGGGAGGCUUUGAAGCCGGAUCGUCAGAUUCGGUGGAGCCACUGGUGAGAUACCACCCUUGUCGUAUUGGGUUUCUAACCUCGGGCCCUGAAUCGGGUCCAGGGACAUUGUCAGGCGGGUAGUUUGACUGGGGCGGUCGCCUCCCAAAAUGUAACGGAGGCGUGCUAAGGUUCCCUCAGGCUGUUUGGAAAUCAGCCGUAGAGUGCAAUGGCAUAAGGGAGCUUGACUGCGAGACCUACAAGUCGAGCAGAGACGAAAGUCGGCCAUAGUGAUCCGGCGGUUCCGUAUGGAAGGGCCGUCGCUCAACGGAUAAAAGGUACUCCGGGGAUAACAGGCUGAUCCCUCCCAAGAGUCCACAUCGACGGAGGGGUUUGGCACCUCGAUGUCGGCUCAUCGCAUCCUGGGGCUGAAGCAGGUCCCAAGGGUUCGGCUGUUCGCCGAUUAAAGCGGUACGUGAGCUGGGUUCAGAACGUCGCGAGACAGUUCGGUCCCUAUCUUCCGUGGGCGCAGGAGAUUUGAGGGAAUGGUUCCCUAGUACGAGAGGACCGGGAACCACGGACCUCUAGUGUACCGGUUGUCGCGCCAGCGGCAGCGCCGGGUAGCUAUGUCCGGAAAGGAUAAGCGCUGAAAGCAUAUAAGCGCGAAGCCCAUCCCAAGAUGAGAUCUCCCGGGCCAUAAGGCCCCUGAAGACCCCUUGGAGACUACAAGGUUGAUAGGCUGGAGGUGUAAGCGCGGUGACGUGUUUAGCUUACCAGUACUAAUCGGUCGUGAGGCUUGACCUU
rnacentral:rRNA from 1 species